rnacentral:ncRNA from 1 species
CUGGCUUGAUCUCGAUGUUCAGUACGCAUAGAGACUGCGAAAGCACGGCCUAUCGAUUCUUUUGGCUUGAAGAGUUUUCGUAGCUAUGUCGUGCCGUAGCUAUGAGGCUGGUACUCUUGUUGACAUAGCGAGAG